rnacentral:tRNA from 1 species
GGCUCCAUAGUGUAGUGGUUAGCACGUCUGCUUUACAUGCAGAAGGUCCUGGGUUCGCACCCCAGGUGGAGCCC